rnacentral:rRNA from 1 species
CCUACGGGAGGCAGCAGUGGGGGAUAUUGCACAAUGGGGGGAACCCUGAUGCAGCGACGCCGCGUGGGUGAAGAAGCGCCUCGGCGCGUAAAGCCCUGUCAGCAGGGAAGAAAAUGACGGUACCUUAAGAAGAAGCCCCGGCUAACUACGUGCCAGCAGCCGCGGUUAUACGUAGGGGGCAAGCGUUAACCGGAUUUACCGGGUGGAAAGGGGGCGCAGACGGCGGGGCAAGCCAGGAGUGAAAGGCCGGGGCCCAACCCCGGGACUGCUCUUGGAACUGCGUGGCUGGAGUGCAGGAGGGGCAAGCGGAAUUCCUGGUGUAGCGGUGAAAUGCGUAGAUAUCAGGAGGAACACCGGUGGCGAAGGCGGCCUGCUGGACUGUAACUGACGUUGAGGCCCGAAAGCGUGGGGAGCAAACAGGAUUAGAUACCCCUGUAGUC